rnacentral:tRNA from 1 species
GGAGGCCGAGCUCAGUGGUAGAGCACAGGCUGAGGCCCUGGGUUCAAUUCCCAGCACCUUCC